GUGGCCAAGUUUUUAAGGGCGCACGGUGGAUGCCUUGGCACCAGGAACCGAUGAAGGACGUGGGAGGCCGCGAUAGGCCCCGGGGAGCUGUCAACCGAGCUUUGAUCCGGGGGUGUCCGAAUGGGGAAACCCGGCAGUCGUCAUGGGCUGUCACCCGCUGCUGAACACAUAGGCAGUGUGGAGGGAACGCGGGGAAGUGAAACAUCUCAGUACCCGCAGGAAGAGAAAACAACCGUGAUUCCGGGAGUAGUGGCGAGCGAAACUGGAUGAGGCUAAACCAGUCACGUGUGAUACCCGGCAGGGGUUGCGUGGUUGGGGUUGUGGGAGCUUUCUUGAUCGGUCUGCCGGCCGGUCGGUGAGUCAGAAACCGUUGAUGUAGGCGAAGGACAUGCGAAAGGUCCGGCGUAGAGGGUAAGACCCCCGUAGCUGAAACGUCAGCGGCUUGCUUGAGAGCCACCCAAGUAGCACGGGGCCCGAGAAAUCCCGUGUGAAUCUGGCGGGACCACCCGUUAAGCCUAAAUAUUCCCUGGUGACCGAUAGCGGAUAGUACCGUGAGGGAAUGGUGAAAAGUACCGCGGGAGCGGAGUGAAAUAGUACCUGAAACCGUGUGCCUACAAGCCGUGGGAGCGUCGCCAUGCAGUUUUCUGUGUGGUCGUGACUGCGUGCCUUUUGAAGAAUGAGCCUGCGAGUUUGCGGUAUGUUGCGAGGUUAACCCGUGUGGGGAAGCCGUAGCGAAAGCGAGUCCGAAUAGGGCGUUGGAGUAGCAUGCUCAAGACCCGAAGCGGAGUGAUCUAGCCAUGGGCAGGUUGAAGCGGAGGUAAGACUUCGUGGAGGACCGAACCCACCAGGGUUGAAAACCUGGGGGAUGACCUGUGGUUAGGGGUGAAAGGCCAAUCAAACUCCGUGAUAGCUGGUUCUCCCCGAAAUGCAUUUAGGUGCAGCGUCGUGUGUUUCUUGCCGGAGGUAGAGCACUGGAUAGGCGAUGGGCCCUACCGGGUUACUGACCUUAGCCAAACUCCGAAUGCCGGUAAGUGAGAGCGCGGCAGUGAGACUGUGGGGGAUAAGCUCCAUGGUCGAGAGGGAAACAGCCCAGAGCAUCGACUAAGGCCCCUAAGCGUGUGCUAAGUGGGAAAGGAUGUGGAGUCGCAGAGACAACCAGGAGGUUGGCUUAGAAGCAGCCACCCUUGAAAGAGUGCGUAAUAGCUCACUGGUCAAGUGAUUCCGCGCCGACAAUGUAGCGGGGCUCAAGUACACCGCCGAAGUCGUGUCAUUGCGAUAUUAC
rnacentral:rRNA from 1 species